GCUCAGAAAAACUAGGAACUAGUGCUGCCUUUGGCAUCACAUACAGAAAAGAAUAGCAUGGCCCCUGUGCAAGGAUGACAUGCAAAUUCAUGAAGCAUUCCAUAUUUUG